GCCGCGAUAGCUCAGUUGGUAGAGCGCAUCCAUGGUAAGGAUGAGGUCCUGGGUUCAAAUCCCAGUCGUGGCUCCA
rnacentral:tRNA from 6 species